UACGGAGGGUGCAAACGUUGCUCGGAAUCAUUGGGCGUAAAGCGCACGUAGGCGGCCUGAUAAGUCGGGUGUGAAAGCCCUGGGCUCAACCCAGGAAGUGCACUCGAAACUGUCAGGCUUGAAUAUGGAAGAGGGUCGCGGAAUUCCCGGUGUAGCGGUGAAAUGCGCAGAUAUCGGGAAGAACACCCGUGGCGAAGGCGGCACUCUGGGACGGUACUGACGCUGAGACGCGAAAGCGUGGGGAGCGAACAGG
rnacentral:rRNA from 1 species